CAGCAGCAGACUUCUUGUGACACUUAGGUUUAUUAAAUGUCUCUUGUCUCUGUGAGUUAGUAUUUUAUUAUUUUCACCUGAAGAUGUUUUAGCUGAUGUGGGUGCCAAUUAUAAAUGUCCCUGAGGGUGGACUGACCCGUGAGGAAAGGAGUAAGAAUAAGACAAAGCCUGGAGAGAGAGAUCGUAUUUAAGAGGUAGAAGCUUUUCACUAUAUAAACUUUAAGGUUUCAUAUAAAUAAGUGACACAGAAAACUCUUUUUAAUCACACACACACACACACACACACACUCCUACAAGCUCCCUCCUGUGAACCACAUUUUCCACAGAGCAUAUGUUUCAAAUGAAAGGUCAAAAAGGAGAUUAAUGUCAGCGUGGAGUCCCAGGACAGGUGAUCAUUUCUCUAACAUGUUAUGCGGCUUGUUGCUAAAACAGAGUCCCUCCAAACUAAGCUGCUUGCUCAGUGAGUGCCUUAUUCCUCUUUCUCCAGGCCUUGGCCCCUCCCUGUGAUGGGUGAGGAACUCGGCUUAUUCCUGGGGACAGAGGCCUGCCACCAGAGAGGCCAUAGGCUGGAGCAAGGGCUGACUCACAGGGUAGCGAGGAAACGGCCUGGAUCUUUGACCAGGGCCCUCUCUUUCCACGUGGCCUUUCCCUCCAGGAAGAUGGACUGGGGUUGUUGACAAGGAGAAAGCACCCACAUAAUACUCAUGUAAUGAAAACUUGGCGGUAAGUAAAAUCUGUCACCUAACGCAGGAGUGCCCUGUGUUAGAUCCUUUUUGGAAAUACUGCACGUGGCAUGCCUUAGACACUCACAAGGCAAACAAUAAGCUUGCUAAAGGCUCUAAGACAGGACUUCCCUGGUGAUCCAGUGGCUAAGACUCCACACUCCCAGUGCAGGGGGCCGGGGUUUGAUCCCUGCUCAGGGAACUAGACUCCGUAUGCUGCAACUGGAGAUCUGUAUGCUGCAACUCAGAAAUAUCCCACACACUGCAACAAAGAUCGAAGAUUCUGUGUAUUUCACCUAAGACCCAGUGCAGCUGAAAUACAUAAAUAAAUACUUAAAAAAAAAUAAGGCUCUGAGGGGU
rnacentral:lncRNA from 1 species